AUGUCCGCUCUCUUGAAUGCUGUACUCAGCAGGAACUACAAGAAAGUUCAAAUUCUACGGAUCCAACCUUUGCAGCUCAUGAUAGUUUCUACUGAUAAGGAAAACUCUAUCAGCUGGUUUUGCCAAGGAGAAGGGACUGAAAAAGAACAAAACUGGGACAGUUCUACCACACCUGAAGUAAGAAGAGGGACAUCCUUUCCUAUUAUUUUCUUCACUAUGCAAGAAAAAAAAAAAAGAAAUGAAGCACCCACAGAGGGCAAUGUCAAGAUAAUAACAGGAUGGCAUACGAGGCUGCCAAGUGCUUGGAAAAGGCAAAGAGACAGGAUACUUCAUCCUAUUGACCUCCAGUGCUGGCUUCUUUCUCCGUGCUUGUAACAUGAGCUGUCUGGAAGCAAAAUGUCUUUGGAGCAGAAAUAAACUCCCAGACCUCAAAGUACA
rnacentral:lncRNA from 1 species